UAUUGCAAAUGCACGUGCAUUGUUGUGCAACUGGUAACCCAAAAAUAAAAAUAUGGUUGUAAAUGCAUUUACCGGUCAUUCUGAUAUUAAUGCUCGCUAUGGGAACACAGGAUGGCCGGGCAGUGAUAGUUGUACAUUUCCAUCACUCGUUGUGUUGAUUUCAUCAUGUCCAUUAGGUGAUGUUUUUACACUAUAGAAUCAUAUUGCAAGUGCGCGCGCAUUUGCAAUAUGUUUCAAUGUGCAUUUACCAUAUGAAAUUUGACAUGCUCAAAAAUGCAAAAUUGACUGGUCUGAUGGACACAGGAUGGCCGAGCAGUGAUAGUUGUACAUUUCCAUCACUCGUUGUGUUGAUUUCAUCAUGUCCAUUAGGUGAUGUUUUUUCACUAUAGAAUCAUAUUGCAAAUGCACGUGCAUUGUUGUGCAACUGGUAACCCAAAAAUAAAAAUAUGGUUGUAAAUGCAUUUACCGGUCAUUCUGAUAUUAAUGCUCGCUAUGGGAACACAGGAUGGCCGGGCAGUGAUAGUUGUACAUUUCCAUCACUCGUUGUGUUGAUUUCAUCAUGUCCAUUAGGUGAUGUUUUUACACUAUAGAAUCAUAUUGCAAGUGCGCGCGCAUUUGCAAUAUGUUUCAAUGUGCAUUUACCAUAUGAAAUUUGACAUGCUCAAAAAUGCAAAAUUGACUGGUCUGAUGGACACAGGAUGGCCGAGCAGUGAUAGUUGUACAUUUCCAUCACUCGUUGUGUUGAUUUCAUCAUGUCCAUUAGGUGAUGUUUUUACACUAUAGAAUCAUAUUGCAAGUGCGCGCGCAUUUGCAAUAUGUUUCAAUGUGCAUUUACCAUAUGAAAUUUGACAUGCUCAAAAAUGCAAAAUUGACUGGUCUGAUGAACACAGGAUGGCUGAGCAGUGAUAGUUGUACAUUUCCAUCACUCGUUGUGUUGAUUUCAUCAUGUCCAUUUGUUUAUGUUUUCUCACUUUUGCAAAGUCACUGUGCAUUUGCAAUAUGGUUCAAUGGGCAGGUACCAUCACGAAUUUGUCAUGCUAUAAAAAUCCUGCAGGAAUGUGAAAUUGACUGGCCCGAUGAACUCGGGAUAGCUGGGCAGUGAUUCUGGUUCAUCUCCAUGGCUCGUUAGGGUUGAUUUCAGAAUGUCACUUUUGGUGAUGGUCCCUCUCCGUUUAAACAUAUUGCUAAUGUACAAAAGUCAACUAGCAAGUCAGUGUCCAUCAGUCAAUUAGAUGUCAUUUUGACACCAAACUGAUACCAAUUGACACCAAACCC